CAUAUUUGUCACAAAGCAUAAUUUCCAUGAUAGGACUCAGAUCCGCAUGCGAUUUUUUUUGCAGCAACGACACAGUUGAAGUAACUCCUUGGUGGAGGCUGGCUACAUUUUCACAAUGUCCGGCCCCACGUUAGAACUUCGGGGAAAAGGCUCAAGGAAGUGACUAGUCCACCAAACAAAAUUCACAGGAUCCUGGCACUUAACAGCAACACCAAAGGGCCCCAGCGCGGAGCAGCUGUUUGUUGUGAUAGGAGCGGAGUCAACUCUUUUUAAUGAACACAAAGCUCUCCACAGGUUCAGGGGUAUUAUUCAGCUGUUUUCUGAAUCUCUCAAAGCUCAUCUUAUGAAACUUCAGCGAGACCCGACCCUCCCCCUCCCCGGCCUAGACACCCCCUUCAUGUUGCUGCUCAUCAACUCUGACCUCAGACAGACACACACACAGACAGAGGGGCCUUGCUGACCACAGACGUUCGCUUCUUCCCACUUGCUUUGUACCCUAGCAACAGAGGUGUUCUGGACCUGCACCCAUGCCAUGUACUGGAAACAACUCACAACUCUCAAGGCACGGUCCUCUUGAUAUGACUUGAAUUCUAGGCGAUAACAGCCGCGGAGGCACG
rnacentral:lncRNA from 1 species